rnacentral:rRNA from 1 species
AGUGAACGCUGGCGGUAGGCCUAACACAUGCAAGUCGAACGGCAGCACAGUAAGAGCUUGCUCUUACGGGUGGCGAGUGGCGGACGGGUGAGGAAUACAUCGGAAUCUACUUUUUCGUGGGGGAUAACGUAGGGAAACUUACGCUAAUACCGCAUACGACCUACGGGGGAAAGCAGGGGAUCUUCCGACCUUGCGCGAUUGAAUGAGCCGAUGUCGGAUUAGCUAGUUGGCGGGGUAAAGGCCCACCAAGGCGACGAUCCGUAGCUGGUCUGAGAGGAUGAUCAGCCACACUGGAACUGAGACACGGUCCAGACUCCUACGGGAGGCAGCAGUGGGGAAUAUUGGACAAUGGGCGCAAGCCUGAUCCAGCCAUACCGCGUGGGUGAAGAAGGCCUUCGGGUUGUAAAGCCCUUUUGUUGGGAAAGAAAAGCAGCAGGUUAAUACCCCGCUGUUCUGACGGUACCCAAAGAAUAAGCACCGGCUAACUUCGUG